rnacentral:rRNA from 1 species
AGAGUUUGAUCAUGGCUCAGAUUGAACGCUGGCGGCAGGCCUAACACAUGCAAGUCGAACGGUAGCACAGAGAGCUUGCUCUCGGGUGACGAGUGGCGGACGGGUGAGUAAUGUCUGGGAAACUGCCUGAUGGAGGGGGAUAACUACUGGAAGCGGUAGCUAAUACCGCAUAACGUCGCAAGACCAAAGAGGGGGACCUUCGGGCCUCUUGCCAUCAGAUGUGCCCAGAUGGGAUUAGCUAGUAGGUGGGGUAACGGCUCACCUAGGCGACGAUCCCUAGCUGGUCUGAGAGGAUGACCAGCCACACUGGAACUGAGACACGGUCCAGACUCCUACGGGAGGCAGCAGUGGGGAAUAUUGCACAAUGGGCGCAAGCCUGAUGCAGCCAUGCCGCGUGUAUGAAGAAGGCCUUCGGGUUGUAAAGUACUUUCAGCGGGGAGGAAGGUGUUGAGGUUAAUAACCUCAGCAAUUGACGUUACCCGCAGAAGAAGCACCGGCUAACUCCGUGCCAGCAGCCGCGGUAAUACGGAAGGGUGCAAGCGUUAAUCGGAAUUACUGGGGCGUAAAGCGCACGCAGGCGGUCUGUCAAGUCGGAUGUGAAAUCCCCGGGCUCAACCUGGGAACUGCAUUCGAAACUGGCAGGCUAGAGUCUUGUAGAGGGGGGUAGAAUUCCAGGUGUAGCGGUGAAAUGCGUAGAGAUCUGGAGGAAUACCGGUGGCGAAGGCGGCCCCCUGGACAAAGACUGACGCUCAGGUGCGAAAGCGUGGGGAGCAAACAGGAUUAGAUACCCUGGUAGUCCACGCCGUAAACGAUGUCGACUUGGAGGUUGUGCCCUUGAGGCGUGGCUUCCGGAGCUAACGCGUUAAGUCGACCGCCUGGGGAGUACGGCCGCAAGGUUAAAACUCAAAUGAAUUGACGGGGGCCCGCACAAGCGGUGGAGCAUGUGGUUUAAUUCGAUGCAACGCGAAGAACCUUACCUACUCUUGACAUCCAGAGAACUUAGCAGAGAUGCUUUGGUGCCUUCGGGAACUCUGAGACAGGUGCUGCAUGGCUGUCGUCAGCUCGUGUUGUGAAAUGUUGGGUUAAGUCCCGCAACGAGCGCAACCCUUAUCCUUUGUUGCCAGCGGUCCGGCCGGGAACUCAAAGGAGACUGCCAGUGAUAAACUGGAGGAAGGUGGGGAUGACGUCAAGUCAUCAUGGCCCUUACGAGUAGGGCUACACACGUGCUACAAUGGCGCAUACAAAGAGAAGCGACCUCGCGAGAGCAAGCGGACCUCAUAAAGUGCGUCGUAGUCCGGAUUGGAGUCUGCAACUCGACUCCAUGAAGUCGGAAUCGCUAGUAAUCGUGGAUCAGAAUGCCACGGUGAAUACGUUCCCGGGCCUUGUACACACCGCCCGUCACACCAUGGGAGUGGGUUGCAAAAGAAGUAGGUAGCUUAACCUUCGGGAGGGCGCUUACCACUUUGUGAUUCAUGACUGGGGUGAAGUCGUAACAAGGUAACCGUAGGGGAACCUGCGGCUGGAUCACCUCCUU